GUGGGGAAUAUUGGACAAUGGGCGAAAGCCUGAUCCAGCCAUGCCGCGUGUGUGAAGAAGGUCUUCGGAUUGUAAAGCACUUUAAGUUGGGAGGAAGGGCAGUAAGUUAAUACCUUGCUGUUUUGACGUUACCGACAGAAUAAGCACCGGCUAACUUCGUGCCAGCAGCCGCGGUAAUACGAAGGGUGCAAGCGUUAAUCGGAAUUACUGGGCGUAAAGCGCGCGUAGGUGGUUUUGUAAGUUGGAGGUGAAAUCCCCGGGCUCAACCUGGGAACUGCCUCCAAAACUGCAUGACUAGAGUACGGUAGAGGGUAGUGGAAUUUCCUGUGUAGCGGUGAAAUGCGUAGAUAUAGGAAGGAACACCAGUGGCGAAGGCGACUACCUGGACUGAUACUGACACUGAGGUGCGAAAGUGUGGGUAGCGAACAGGAUUAGAAACCCCUGUAGUCC
rnacentral:rRNA from 1 species